GACGGAGGAUGCAAGUGUUAUCCGGAAUCACUGGGCGUAAAGCGUCUGUAGGUGGUCAAAUAAGUCAACUGUUAAAUCUUGAGGCUCAACCUCAAAAUCGCAGUCGAAACUAUUAGACUAGAGUAUAGUAGGGGUAAAGGGAAUUUCCAGUGGAGCGGUGAAAUGACGUAGAGAUUGGAAAGAACACCGAUGGCGAAGGCACUUUACUGGGCUAUUACUAACACUCAGACGACGAAAGCUAGGGUAG
rnacentral:rRNA from 1 species